UCUUAUAAAUGAGCAUAGAAAAUGGUUUCUUGAGAUAGAAUCUACUACUGGUGAAGAUGCUGUGAG
rnacentral:pre_miRNA from 1 species